rnacentral:tRNA from 2 species
GAUCUUAUAGUUUAUGUAAAAUUUUAAAUUGCAAAUUUAAAGUAGUAAGUUAAUUUAUUACUAAGAUUU